CUAACUACCAUGCUCCCUCACAGUUCCCAUAAUUCCCAGCUCAGCCAUAUCAUAGAGUAGUGAUUACUAUAUGAUGUGUAGAUGUUGGGAAUUAUGGGAACCACGAGGGAGCAUGGUAGUUA
rnacentral:miRNA from 1 species